rnacentral:lncRNA from 10 species
UACAAUUUUUUAAUUGUAAAAGUGUUCUUCAAGUGAGAGGAGAAAACUUCAUUAAAAGUUUAAAAGGCAAGUCACUAUUUUAUGGUGUUUUAAUAUGUACAGGACACCUUUGACCCCCCAGAUUCAGAAAUAACUCAAACUUAAGUGUGUUCUCAUAGCUCUUUGAAGUUACAAAGAUGUAUCCCUAGCAAUCCCAAGGGGCCACCAUGGUAGAGCAUGCAUGUAGCAGCAAUGAGGUUUCUAGAUAUUUAGACCUAAAAAAGGUGUACAAGGGAACAUACAAAG